GAACGGAGCGUCAUAGAGGGUGAGAAUCCCCGUGCCAUGACACGGACUACUUAAUACUUUGUGAUACGCUCUCGAAGAGUCGAGUUGUUUGGGAAUGCAGCUCAAAAUGGGUGGUAAAUUCCAUCUAAAGCUAAAUACAGGCGAGAGACCGAUAGCGAACAAGUACCGUGAGGGAAAGAUGAAAAGCACUUUGGAAAGAGAGUUAAACAGUACGUGAAAUUGUUGAAAGGGAAACGCUUGAAGUCAGUCGCGUUGUGCAGAACUCAGCCUUGCCUCGGCUUGGUGUACUUUCUGCACAACGGGUCAACAUCAAUUUUGGCCCAUGGAGAAAGGUGGGGGGAAUGUAGCGCUGUUUCGGCAGCGUGUUAUAGCCCUCCACUGUAUACAUGGGCUGGGAUUGAGGAACGCAGCACGCCCUUGUGGCCGGGGGUUCGCCCCACGUACCGUGCUUAGGAUGUUGGCAGAAUGGCUUUAAGCGACCCGUCUUGAAACACGGACCAAGGAGUCUAACAUGCUUGCGAGUGUUCGGGUGGAAAACCCUUGUGCGUAAUGAAAGUGAAAGUUGGGAACCUCCGCAAGGGGGUGCACCGACGCCCGGCCCUGACGUUCUCUGACGGUGCUGCGGUAGAGCAAGUAUGCUAGGACCCGAAAGAUGGUGAACUAUGCCUGAAUAGGGCGAAGCCAGAGGAAACUCUGGUGGAGGCUCGUAGCGAUUCUGACGUGCAAAUCGAUCGUCAAAUUUGGGGUAUAGGGGGCGAAAGACUAAUCGAACCAUCUAGUAGCUGGGUUCCUGCCGAAGGUUUCCCUCAGGAUAGCAGAAACUCGUAUCAGA
rnacentral:rRNA from 1 species